AUUAUAAAUUUUUGUAUAUUAGAUCAAAGAGCAAAUGAUCCUUGUGUUAAAAUUUUCAUCUAUUCUCCUAUAUAAAUUAGUAAGGGUAGGUCACCAUGAGGUCCCCAGGGCAUAUCAGGUGUCAUUAUUUAUCCAAUUCCCCCAGUCACUUCAGUUUUUAUCAGUAUAAAUGGAUGCAAUUUUUACCCAAAAAAAUGGAUUGCUUCUUUAAUCUAAUUUAUAGGGAUUAAACUA
rnacentral:pre_miRNA from 1 species